GGCUCAACAAAAGGAAGAAGAUGCUCAACAUACUUCAAUUAUGUUGAAAAUAAUAAUAAUAAUAACAAUGAUGAUCCGGGCAUUCUUAUUCUGCAACUUCUAAUUGACAACAUCAGCAGGCCAGCUCCAAAUAUCACUCACUACUUAAAUUUGAUCUAGAUACACCUGUAGAGCGGACAAUUUUACAGCCUAAAUUUUAUUACAGUUGCAUGAAGGUUAUUCUUGAUAUUCUGGAGAAGCUUUUGAAGCCAGAUGUAAAUGCAUUACUUCAUGAAUUUAGUUUUCAGGUCAACUGUAGUUGAUCUGUUGGGUAACAUAUCUAAAGUAGUUGUUAAAUUUCAGAGAAUUCAUAACUAAGUUUUAUUUGGAAUAUUCUGUUUUUCAUUGA